rnacentral:rRNA from 1 species
UACGUAGGGUGCGAGCGUUAAUCGGAAUUACUGGGCGUAAAGCGUGCGAAGGCGGUUCGUUAAGUCAGAUGUGAAAGCCCCGGGCUCAACCUGGGAACUGCAUUUGAAACUGGCGGGCUUGAGUAUGGCAGAGGGGGGUGGAAUUCCGCGUGUAGCAGUGAAAUGCGUAGAGAUGCGGAGGAACACCGAUGGCGAAGGCAGCCCCUGGGCCAAUACUGACGCUCAGGCACGAAAGCGUGGGGAGCAAACAGG